GAGAGAUAGGGGCUCAAACUUCUAGUAACAGAAAAACUGGAAAAAUGCAGCAGAACAACCAACUCUUGCAGCCUUCAUUGCUGGUAGUGCUGGGAGGGCUAGUCAAUGCAAAAUACGUACACUUGUAAUUGAUUUGGUGGUUGAGGAAAUUCUUCCUUUCAAGUUUGUUGAAUCACAAGCUUUGAAAAACCUUAUUCAGACAUUACAGCCAAAUGUGCAAUUAAUGAUAAAUUCGCCCAUAAAAAAGAUGAACUUAAAGAGAAGCUUAGCAUAGUAGAGUGACUCACGACCACACCUGACUGUUGGAGCUGCAUCAACAGAUUCUAUCAGGGCAUAAUUGUGAAUUGGAUUGGCCCAGAAAGCCUGAAGAGGGAAUAUGCAGCUCUUACUUGCUGUCGUCUCAAUGGCCACCACACCUAUGACUUGAUCGUCAAGAAACUGGAAGCAGAUUACAUCAAAUAUUGCAUUCAAAACAAGAUUACCGCUCAAAUGUGAGCUGAACUUGUCCAGGCAUCUGGAUUCAAGUUGAAAGAGUCAGUAACUGCAACGUUCUUCACUGACUGAGUGGGUGGUGUCUAUAUGCUACAGCCGGGAAAUGCUGAAAAAAGUGACCAGUCGUGGUAAUUCUAUUGAAGAGAAAGGAUACAAAGUUUCUUGUCAGAUUGGAACAUUUAUUCUUAGCUCAAUUCUACUUGUUUAUCGACAUCCAUUAUGAGGGAAGAAAGCUAUUAUUCAAUUCACAGAUCCAGAAGAGGCGAUUGUUCAAUGUUUUACGCAAGUACACA